rnacentral:rRNA from 1 species
GAUGAACGCUAGCUACAGGCUUAACACAUGCAAGUCGAGGGACCGGCGCACGGGUGAGUAACACGUAUCCAACCUGCCCUUUACUCGGGGAUAGCCUUUCGAAAGAAAGAUUAAUACCCGAUGUAAAGGAUGGGGAUGCGUUCCAUUAGGUUGUUGGUGAGGUAACGGCUCACCAAGCCUUCGAUGGAUAGGGGUUCUGAGAGGAAGGUCGCCCGCGUUGGAACUGGGACCAGGUCCAAACUCCUACGGGAGGCAGCAGUGAGGAGUAUUGGUCAAUAGGCGUUAGCCUGAACCAGCCAAGUAGCGUGAAGGAUGAAGGCUUUUAGGUCGUAAGCUUCUUUUAUGUAAGAAUAUGUAUUAUAUGAAUAAGGAUCGGCUAACUCCGUGCCAGCAGCCGCGGUAAUUC